rnacentral:rRNA from 1 species
AGAGUUUGAUCCUGGCUCAGGAUGAACGCUAGCGACAGGCUUAACACAUGCAAGUCGAGGGGCAGCACGGUGUAGCAAUACACUGGUGGCGACCGGCGCACGGGUGAGUAACACGUGUGCAACCAACCCCGUACCGGGAGAUAACCCGCGGAAACGUGGACUAACAUCCCAUGAUACUCGAGAGCCGCAUGGCUCUCGAUUUAAAAUUCCGGUGGUACGGGACGGGCACGCGCGACAUUAGGUAGUUGGCGGGGUAACGGCCCACCAAGCCGACGAUGUCUAGGGGUUCUGAGAGGAAGGUCCCCCACACUGGAACUGAGACACGGUCCAGACUCCUACGGGAGGCAGCAGUGAGGAAUAUUGGUCAAUGGGCGAGAGCCUGAACCAGCCAAGUCGCGUGAGGGAAGAAUGGUCUAUGGCCUGUAAACCUCUUUUGUCAGGGAAGAAUAAGGAUGACGAGUCAUUCGAUGCCAGUACUUGACGAAUAAGCAUCGGCUAACUCCGUGCCAGCAGCCGCGGUAAUACGGGGGAUGCGAGCGUUAUCCGGAUUUAUUGGGUUUAAAGGGCGCGUAGGCGGGACGUCAAGUCAGCGGUAAAAGACUGCAGCUAAACUGUAGCACGCCGUUGAAACUGGCGCCCUGGAGACGAGACGAGGGAGGCGGAACAAGUGAAGUAGCGGUGAAAUGCAUAGAUAUCACUUGGAACCCCGAUAGCGAAGGCAGCUUCCCAGGCUCGUUCUGACGCUGAUGCGCGAGAGCGUGGGUAGCGAACAGGAUUAGAUACCCUGGUAGUCCACGCCGUAAACGAUGCUCACUGGAUCUUGGCGAUACACAGCCAGGGUUCAAGCGAAAGUAUUAAGUGAGCCACCUGGGGAGUACGUCGGCAACGAUGAAACUCAAAGGAAUUGACGGGGGCCCGCACAAGCGGAGGAACAUGUGGUUUAAUUCGAUGAUACGCGAGGA